rnacentral:rRNA from 1 species
UACAGAGGUCUCAAGCGUUGUUCGGAUUCAUUGGGCGUAAAGGGUGCGUAGGUGGCGCCGUAAGUCAGGUGUGAAAUCUCGGGGCUCAACCCCGAAACUGCACUUGAUACUGCGGUGCUCGAGUACUGGAGAGGAGAUUGGAAUUUACGGUGUAGCGGUGAAAUGCGCAGAUAUCGGGAGGAACACCAAUUGCGAAGGCAGCUCGCUGGGACGUUACUGACGCUGAGACGCGAAAGCGUGGGGAGCAAACAGG